GAUGAACGCUGGCGGCGUGCCUAAUACAUGCAAGUCGAGCGAACAGACGAGGAGCCUGCUCCUUCGACGUUAGCGGCGGACGGGUGAGUAACACGUAGGUAACCUACCUAUAAGACUGGGAUAACUUCGGGAAACCGGAGCUAAUACCGGAUAAUAUUUCGAACCGCAUGGUUCGAUGGUGAAAGAUGGCUUUGCUAUCACUUAUAGAUGGACCUGCGCCGUAUUAGCUAGUUGGUAAGGUAACGGCUUACCAAGGCAACGAUACGUAGCCGACCUGAGAGGGUGAUAGGCCACACUGGAGCUGAGACACGGUCCAGACUCCUAAGGGAGGCAGCAGUAGGGAAUCUUCCGCAAUGGGCGAGAGCCUGACGGAGCAACGCCGCGUGAGUGAUGAAGGUCUUCGGAGCGUAAAACUCUGUUUUUAGGGAAGAACAAACGUGUAAGUAACUGUGCACGGCGUGACGGUACCUAAUCAGAAAGCCACGGCUAACUACGUG
rnacentral:rRNA from 1 species